rnacentral:rRNA from 1 species
ACUCCUACGGGAGGCAGCAGUGGGGAAUAUUGCACAAUGGGCGCAAGCCUGAUGCAGCAACGCCGUGUGAGUGAAGAAGGUUUUCGGAUCGUAAAACUCUGUCCUAAGGGAAGAAACAAAUGACGGUACCUUAGGACGGAAGCCCCGGCUAACUACGUGCCAGCAGCCGCGGUAAUACGUAGGGGGCAAGCGUUAUCCGGAAUCACUGGGCGUAAAGGGUGCGUAGGCGGCUUAGCAAGCCAGGGGUGAAAGGCAUUGGCUCAACCAAUGUAAGCCUUUGGAACUGUUAAGCUUGAGUGCAGGAGAGGUAAGUGGAAUUCCUAGUGUAGAGGUGAAAUUCGUAGAUAUUAGGAGGAACACCAGUGGCGAAGGCGACUUACUGGACUGUAACUGACGCUGAUGCACGAAAGCGUGGGUAGCGAACAGGGAUUAGAUACCCUGGUAGCACAGAG